UCGCGACCCCAGGUCAGGCGGGACUACCCGCUGAGUUUAAGCAUAUCAAUAAGUGGAGGAAA
rnacentral:rRNA from 1 species